UCUCUCCUACAUGGCACCCUCUCAAACCAGCAUUUUGAUUUAUCUAAUCCUGUAUUUUGCAUUAUGUAUUUUUAUAUACGUUUCAAUUCUCAAGCUCUGCAAAAAAACCAAUUCUCAUACUCAGUCAACCGUUACAAAUUAGAGCGCAAUUUAUCUGCAAAUACUUCUAAAAUUUCUCUCAAUCCCUCUGCAAAUUUCAUGGUCAAUCACUGUUACAAAACUAAAUUAGCAAUUGAUCAACAAAUCUGCUCAAAUCCCUUUCCAUCCGUCUGCAGUCACCAUUCUCGAAUCCCAUCUUCCGAUCAUUCUCAAAUCUCUCUCCAUCCGUCUACAAAUCGUUCUCAAAUCUCAUCUCCCCCGUCUGCAAAUCCUUGUCACGUCAAUUCCCUCUCCCGCUGUCUGCAAAUACUUAUCAUAGCAGUUGAUUUGCUAAUCUCUAUCUAUCGGGUCCCGCGCCGCCGAUACAUCAAAAUUGGAAAUCAGGAUUUGGUGCUCCAUCUCCCCCGCCUGAUUUCGGACUAUUUUUUAAGGCCCUUACUUAUGCAUAACGACUCUUUGGAUUUCAUCAAGUUAAAAUUGCCUUGAUUGGCAUCCAUGCUGGAAGCACUGGUCUUAACUUAAUGUCAGCAUAAUUGAAAGUCAAAGUGCGUCUUAAUCUUCAUGGUAUUGUAUCUGUUGAAUCAGCAACGGCUUUCUCCUGGAAUUGAUGCACUGGUGAAGAAGUUGCAUGAAAAGAACAAGGCUGUCUAUCUGGUCUCUGGAGGUUUUCGUCAAAUGAUAAACCCCGUCGCUACACUCCUUGGGAUACCACUCGAGAACAUAUAUGCCAAUCAACUUCAAUUUGGAAGCUCUGGUGAAUUCUCGGGGUUUGAUCCUAAUGAGCCGACUUCAAGAAGUGGAGGGAACUUCAAGAAGUGGAGGGAAGGCCGUUGCUGUUCAGCAGAUUAGGAAGGUCAGGCUAUAAUCAUACAUUUCUUGGUUUCAAUACGUUUUUCUUCUUUCUUCAACCCUCGUCAAAACUCUUCUAUUUUCAGGCUAAAGGUUUCAAAUCUUUAGUCAUGAUUGGAGACGGCGCAACUGAUCUUGAGGUGAGAAAUAUUAUAUUUCUUCAUCACACUUCUUUAUUUGCUUAAAGUUCUCCGAAUAAUAACUUUAUCUGAGAAUGGCUUGGCUCUUUGCUCGCUCUGCUGCUCUUGAGGUUUGCUAUUUGACUAUAUUUGGAAACGCUCGUGUGCUUGUGUGUUGUUCUUUUUCAUGUGAUGAAUCAUAACUCAAUGCUUAUGAGAUGAGAUUUUCUCGGCUGUGUAUAUAUUAGUUAUAAAUUUAGGUGGAUAUAUCAUAUAUGGGUUAUUCGCCUCUUUGUUAUUGCUGUCGUCGUCGUUGUUAUGGUGGGUCGGCCGUGCUGAUUGACGUGGGGUUGAUAUGUGGAACAUCCUCUGUUAAGUUGAUUUUCAAUGUGGUUUUGAGUAGUGAAAAUAUCAUUUAAGAAUAUACAUCUAUCUCAUUUACGACGAACUCACGUUGCAGCUAUAGAACAUAUAUAUAUAACAGGCAGCUAGGAAGGGGCCACCUACAGGUACACUUCGAUGAAGGCCGCCGAGAAUAUGAGGCCGUACUCCCGCUUGCAGACGGCACGGCUCUGAAGAAGGCUGGCGGCGCCAGACAAGCCACGAUGCGAUCCAUCAGAUUCUGCAGUCCAUCCAAGGAUUUGGGUUUGGAUUUUUGGUGCAGAGUAAUGUUCCUAGGUAUGCUUAUGGGAGUGUGCUAAUAAUAAAAUUUCGAAUUUAGUAUGUUCUAACAAUUGAAUAACUUAGAACAGCAGUAACGUGGAACAUAGUUUCAGAAGCAAAAAGAUGAUCAAAAAUAAGUUUCGACACUCGGAGUAUUUAAUUUAGCAAAAAGAUGCUUAUGGGAGUGUGGAAAGGCUCCAUGUUUGGAGUUACAAAUUUAAGGAUUUUUGGAAGUCGCAUACAAGGGGAAGAAGCAGAAGAUAGUUUCUGACGAUGAUUGUUUUUGUAUACUGCACGCAUAGAUGUGAGCUGCUUAUGUAAUUUAAAGUUUUAAAAACUGUAAUUAGAUUUCAAUAUUUGCAAACCUAAAUAAAAGGAUUGAAAUAAAUAUUUUCUUCAA